UCAAGGGAUCCACGAAAAUACUUUUCCGCCGCCGCAAGCUUUCGUUUCUGCGAGAUCUCAUCUGGAGACCAUUCCCGGUGCCCUGCCGGAGGGGACUUUGGAGUUGGAGGGCUUCUACAUCAACAUCAUCGCCCCUCCAAUGACUCGUGAAUAGUUCACUUCAGACCUACGGGUCCGUAGUUAGUAGCUAGAUGGCUUCUUCUCUCUCUUGG
rnacentral:lncRNA from 1 species